CAGGUAGAAGCAUCUGGGACUGCUGGAGUCCAGCUCCUUGUCUUCAGGAUGAGCAAACAAGUUUCUUUUGCCUAUGGAGCUGUAAUUUGGACCCUGAAUCCCUUGUGAUGCUGACUGUUGCGUUGUUGACUAGCACAGGCUGAAUUUCUAUUUUUGUGAGUCUUACCUUCUGACAUGUACUCCCUUUGAUGAAAUGUAUAUUUGCCUAGCAGGCAACAUUCAAAAUGCUCCCAUGAGAGUACUUCAUUUUUACAUUGCAUCAUGUGGAAUGGUGAAGGUGAUUCCAAUCUUAUAAGUUAGCUUCAGCUGUCAUCUUGACACAGACUUAGAGUCAUCUGGAAAGAGGGACCCUCAACUGAAGAAUCAUCAUGAUGAGACUGGACCUGUGGACAUGUCUUUGAGGCUUUUCACUAGUUGCAAAUCUAUAUAGAAGGACCCAUACCACUAUGGAUAGUGCUAUCCCUGGGAUCCUGCCUGACUUCUGUCAAAGAUGAACUGUAAGGCAGCUUCUAACAGAUGUCUGAUACACCAACUCAACUCAUCAGGACACACAGACCUGGCAUCUUGUCCAACAUCUGGAUGAUACACAUUUUCUGAAAAUGAUGUUGAAUUUUAGUGAAGUCAUGCCUACUGCUCUGAGGAACAUGGUUUACUUUGCACUGGUGAGUCUAGAUCACUCGGCCCAAUCCAGGGCAGAGUGGAGCUGGGGCUAGGAAACUGGUCAUGCAACUCUGUCUUGAUUUUGGUUCUGGUUUCUACAUUUAUGUGAAGUUGGCUCUAUAUUUUCUUUUCUCAAACAAAGGGGUCAAUAACUUAGGUUUAAAAUUGAUAGAGUUUUAGCACUUUCUUGCUUUAUAUUUGGGGCAGAUACAAUGACAUUUUUCCUUUUAGUUUAUUGGAUUGUGCUGAGAUAUCUAACAUGAUUGACAGCUGGUGCCUUAUAGCAGGAGGGGUAUGUGUAUGUUUAUAUGUGUGCUGGUGUGUGUGGGCAUGUGUGAAGAUGUGCACACACAACAGCUCCAUGUUUCCCUAUUGGACUCAGAUGGUUGGAGCAGCUCACCCACAAUCUUAGGUGUUAAAGAUACUUGUGCAGAGGCUUACCUUUUGGAGCAAGACAUCAUGGGUAGAUUUUUUUGAUCCUAUAGGAGGACAGGUGGCAUUGAGCUGGAGCUUUGGCACCAAGGUAAAGCUCAGUUUUGCUACUGCUGUGGCACCAGACUAAAAUGGGGUAAGAGAAGCUUAUGGAAAAUUUAAGGGGACAUUCACACUCUUAGGUGAUAACCCUGUACUUACACAAUCCUGAGAGUGGAUACCUCCUUAAAUUUCAUACACAGGUGUCUCACUUCCUGACUCCAGUCUGACUGUACAUAACCCUGGACGUGUCACUUACUUCUCUGAGUUUUUGUGCUCAUCUGUAAGAACUGGGUAGGGUACUAAAAACCAACUCAUGGGCCUGACAUGGAGCUUAAAUAAAUGGGUGUUUAUAAAGUUUUUGACAGUGCUUGGGGCCAUGAACCAUUAUUAAUUUUAAUUAAUCUAUUGGUGUGCAUCUUGGCUAAUCUCGGUUCUUCAGAGGGGGGGGGGAAGGAAUUGAGGAAUACUUAAAAGUGACUUCAUUUCGGAGAUUUUAUUUUCCUUUAGAGUUAUUUAUUCUUUAGGAAAUAAUUUAUUUUAAAUCUAGUACAAAUCACAAGUUCUCAGAGCUAAGAUGUUGCACCAGGCAAAGCCAGGAAUGAAUCUGAAGGUGGAGAUGUGGGAGUAUCGAGUUACAGGGAGGGCAGAGCCAGGUUCUCAUGAGAGUGAGUACUUCAUUUUCAAACCAGGAGCCCAAAUGUCUCACUCAGAGAGCAAGCAGCAGGAUUUGGGUUGAAUGUGUCAAGUGUCUGCUCAGCAGGCAGUUCAGGAUGGCUCCCCAACCAGCUCUGCCCCCCUGUCACUGUGGUCACCCACUUAGCACAACUCACAAUAGCUUACACAGCUUUCUGGGUCAGCCAAGUGUUUUCCCCACAUUUGAAGAUUUUGGACGGGAGGCUGACCAUGGUGCUCAGCGCCCGGAUGAAGAGGAAAUCUGUUAGAACACUGGUGUGUAAAGUGAGAGGCUCUCAGGGCCUGCUAUCCCAACUGCUAUUCUUGCCAUGUUAUUCUGAUGAAAACAAAACAAAACAAAAAAACCUCAAAAAACUUAUACCCUUUUAAACCCUCAAGCUUUUGCCAUUAACUGUGUACUGUAGAGCCCUCUUGACAUCCUCCCCCAGCUCACAUCUCUUUCGUUUCCUACUUGGUGACUAAGAGACAGUGACAGUGAUUGAAUUAUUUUCUUGACCUCUAGUUUCAUUGGAAUGUCCUUUGGUUGUUAACAAAGGAGUUUCCCAUCUCAACUUCUCAAUGUAUAAAAUAAGGAUGUAUAACUCUCAAUGUAUAAAAUGUAGGAUGAGCCACUUCUGAGACUACUGUGAAUAUGUGUGUAUGCAUGUGUAUGUGUGUAUGAGUGUGUGUUGUGUGCAUGUGUCUGUGGGAGUAUGUGUGGGCACAUGUAUAAGGGCUAUCUCAGGCUUGGAGAUGAUGGUAAGUCUAUGUUAACACUUUAUUUACCGCUUUGAAUUCCACUUGAGGGUAGUCAUCAUUCAAAGAGAACCAGGACAAUUUCCUAUUCUCAUAACCUUUUUCCAUGAUAGGCAUUGGCAAUCAGUCACUGCCUUUUUGUCAGUUCUGUGUCUUACUUCUUAGAGCCCCAGAGAGCAUGUACUAAUGUGAUCUUUUGACUACUCUGAGCCAGUGGGCAUCAAGUGGAGGGCACAGACUUCCUUAAUCUGGAGAUAUUGAGAAGGUAGUUUGCUACUUGAGUCCCAGCUGAGUGAUUUGUGUAGAAUGCAAAGAACGCACAACAAUGAAUCAAGUGUGGUACAUAGAAGGAGACUUCUAUGGCUAUCUGGAGAAGGUCCCUCUGACAUAGAAAAUGCACUUGGGAGGUUACCUUAACAGUGGGUUGAAGGAGUAGGAGAGGUGACCUUCAGGUAGGGGGAGCUAUAGAUGAAAGAGUAGAGGGGGUCAAUGGUGUCUAUUUACUAUUCAUGUAACAGUUACUUAAUUUACAAAUAUGAAUUUUAAUGACCUAUUUUUGAAUAAAUAAAAAUAAUAUUAUUUAUCUAUUUUAAAUGUCUAUGAAUUUGUGGCCUCUAUAUACUUUUCACUGUUAAAAAAGCUUCUGUCUGUUUCACAGAUAGAGUUUUAUAGCUGGUAUCUAGUGCAGAAUUAUAAAGUAUAGAAGAGUCUUAGGAUUUUAAGUUAGAAAUGAGAUAAAGCUGGAAAGAUAUACCAAGUGAUUGUCCUGGACAAUUUCUAUGCAUCAUAGAAAUGAUUAGUUCAUUUACCAAAUAUCUGACCGCCUAAUAUAUGCCUGGUGCCAGCUGUGACACACGAAGGGUCUGGGUAGAAGCCCGUUUAUGAGAUCAUAUGCCUGGUAAAGCAAGCAGACUCAUGGCACACAGCUGUUACAUUGACCUGUUGCUGGGAUAUCAGAGAUAUGAGGUGUCUCAUGGAAACAGUCUCCUCUUGUGAUUCAGCCAGGUCCAUGGAGUAAAUAUUUCUACCCAAUCUUCUAGAUGAAGAAACCUAAGCAGAGAGAGUUAAGGACUAAGGCCAUGUGUUGACCUUUCACAACUAGGAACUAACUAUUAGUUGGAUACCCUUUCCCAGGCUGGAUGUAUUUACCAUACAAGAAGAACUGGAGUUUGGGCCUAGUGUUGCUAAAAGUAAGGUGAACAGCUCAAGUCUGUCACUUCUCCAUUAUAGGUUCCUGCUUCCCCAUGUUGGAAGUCUAAAAUGUCUUCUUUUUUAAGAUGGGAUGACUUGCUUGUAGUGUUUAGGUUUGACCUUAGCUGAGCACUGCUAACUGGAAAGACCUCUUGGGGUUGCCACUCACUGCAAUUAUUUCUCUUUGCUCAAACACCUGAUAGGGACAUGUCAUAGUGGAAAAUUUCAAUGAGGAACUUUACUAGUUGCGGCUUCCUUUGUGUAAAGUCUUGUACAAAGGCUAGAACACAAGCGUUGCUUAUGUUACUUGAAGAAUCUGACUUAGCAUGCUUAUAAAUCCAUGUAGUUGAUUAAGUGUAUCAGAUCAGGCCCAUCCAUGUUUCCACCUUUGCUUUAUCUGUGCAGGAAUCAUGUUGAAAAGGCUGCUGUGGGUCUGGGAAAAGUUUCUGUGGCUUCAUAACUCAGUGUUUAUAUAUCUUGUCUUUCUGCAGAGGGAUCUGCUGUCAUUUAGGGCUUUUGUUUCAGAAUUUAGCAUCUCUGAGCCAUGAAAAAUGGAGCUUUUGUUCAGAGAGCAGAUGAUACCAGGGCAGUUCCAGGCCCAAUGAUUCAGACGUCUCUCAGGAUUCAGGCUGAAAUUUGGAAUGUAGAUUAGAUGUAAUAAGGUAAUGCCUUUGACAAAUAAACAUGACACACUUAAUCCAGUGCCUUGACUUAGAGAAAGUUUAAGUUAGAUUCCUGAAGCAGCAGGGAAAAUACAUCUACUUUUCUAUCCCAAAGAUAAUCUUGUGCAAGGUUUUGCAUGAAGGAAGCCCCAACUUAUAACUUGAAACAUAAACUAGGAAGUACUCUGCCCAUACCAGGAAAUACAGAUGACUGCCCUUCUGGCUAUUUGGAGAAACAUCCCAUAAUCAUAUUUUAGUCUCUCUAAUACAUGUCUUUACAAAUAGAACUAGGGAUGGUCAAGUGAAAACCGAUUUGUGGUUGUUAUGGAGUCAACACAAUGAGACAUAAAAUUCAGGCUGGGCAGGCUAACACAUGUCCCAAUUUCUGCAGACUCCUUAAAAAUAAGCACCAGCUUCCCCAGCAAUCUCGGAGGUCCCUUCUCUCCUCUUGUUUUAUUUUUCUUCUUUCCUCUUACAGAAGAAAAGAUGCCAAAGACAAUUGAGCCAAUUUAACAUUUGCUGCACUUAUUCCUCUUCUCUGAUUCAAGUAUAAUAUCCCAACAAAGUGUCUACUCUCUGAUUUGGGUGUGUGUUUGUGGCAAGGAUGAAAUGCCUGCUCAUUUUAAAGGGAAAGUAGGUGGUCAUAAAUGACAGUGUGGUGUUGUGGAAAGAAUAAGAAUGGCUUUGGAGUCAUGCCUGGUCUGACAUCUUGGCUCUUGUGUCUACACAUUGUGGGGCCUUUGCCAUGGCCCCUGAUUGUCUCUGUGCUUUCCAUUUCUGCAUGUACAAAAUGGAAGGGUAGAAGUUCAUUGGUAGGAUUGUUGCUGAGUGUAAUGAAUUAUGUAACAAGAAUUAUUUAUCCCUGUUUUCUCCUGAAUACUGAAUAUUGUAAAAACCACAAGGGCAAGAGGCAGAAAUGCAUGGGAAUGGGCAUGAUAGGAUUAUUCUCCUUAAUCCCAUGUGACUUGGGAGGACCUUAUAGGUUGCCAGAGGAAGAAGGGAUGGAAUACUCACUUUCUGUAGAAGACCCCCAUAAACCCUUCACUUUUGAGAUGGUGGCUGAUUGGUUAGCCCGAUCUCCAGAUGACUCCAGUGAUCUGAACUCUCUGCUGAUCCUCAAUGUACAACACACUGGCUGUUUCUUUAAGCCACUUAUGUUCAAAUGUUGAUUGUGAUUAAAACAGUAUUGGCAGUGAGGAGUGGGCUGAGGUCAGUGGCCUGCUUGAUACAGUGAUAUAUGAGCCUGAGCUGCUGCCAAGGGCCAUGUCUGCACCUGUGGGCCUGCUGUAGCCAUGGUCUGUGAUGAUUUCUGCGGCUCCUGUUACCAUCAAGGGCUGAGAGAAUGGGGCUGCACAAUUGGACCUGCCCCUCACUGGCUGCAACACUAGGGGUCACUGGUCCUGCCCUUCACCCAGUACUGCACUAGAGAAGGCAGGUCCCUGCACCUCACCUGGGCAGCAUGACAGACUUGACUAUUGGCGGGGGUGAGGGCAAGCUGGCCCUGAGGGUGUGAGAGUGGGAGAGCUGGUCCUGCCCUGCCUCGUCUAUCAUGUGGUAGCAUAGGCAUGGAAAGAGGCCCUCCCCUUCUUGCCCCUCGCCACCUUUGGCGGGCAUGAGAGCUGAUCCAGCCCCUCACUAACUGCAACACUAAAGAGAGCAGGCUCUGAACCUCACCUAGGUAGCACCGGAGAGUCGACCCUGCUGACAGGGCACGGGUUAGCCAGCCUAGAAAACGCGAGUGAGCUGGAGGGAUCUGGCUCCACCCCUCAUCUGCCAUAUGGUGGUGAGAGUGAAGGGGAGAUGCCCUCCUCACUCUCCUGCCUCACCCCUUACCACCUGUAGUAGGGGAGAGAGCUGGCCCUGAGGUCAUAAGAACCUGUGAACUGGCCUGACACCUCACCAGCUGCAGCACUCAGGAAAGCAGGCCCUGCACCUUGCCUGGGCAGCAGAGUAGCACUCACCCUGCUGGUGGGUUUCAGGUGAACCUACCCUUGAGGUCCCGAGAGUGGAAGAGUGCCCCCCCACCUCUCAUCUGCUGUGUGAUGACAAGGACAAAAGAUGCCCUCCCCCUUUGCCGCUUGCCAUCUGUGGCAGGUGAGAGAGCUGACUCUGCCCCUUCACCAGAUACAGCAUUUGGGAGAGUGGGCCCUGCAUCUUGCCUGGGCAACACAGUAGAGCUGACCCUGUUGAUGAGGGCAUGGGUGAACUGGCCCUGAGAACAUAAGCAUGAGAGAUCUGCCCCCCCCAUCUGCCGUAUGGUAGCAUGGGCAAGGGAGAGAAGGCACACACACACACCUCAUGGCUUGUGGCAGAUGGGAAAGUUGUCCCUGCGGUCAUAAGAGUGAGAGAGCUGGUCCUGUCUCUCACCAGCUGUGGCACUCUGCAGAGUGGCCCAUAAACCUUGACUGCCCAACACAGUAGAGCUUUGGUGGUGUAGGUGUGGGUGAGCCAGCUCUGAGGACAUGAAAGUAGCAGAAUUGGCCUCACCCCUUGCUGCUUAGUACAUAGGGUGAGCUAUCUGGGGUGGUGCUGAAGAUGAGGGAGAAUUGGUGGGCUGACCAACCCAGUUACCAUCCAGACCCAGAACCAGGGCUAUGAGUUGACCCAUCCCAUCAUCCACCCCAUCUGUAUCUGCUGGAGCAUGUGAAGAGGCUGGCCUCAAAGAUCCAAAGUUGUAGGAUCUCCAUGACAUAGGACAAUAACAGGAUAUCUAAGAAGAGCCCCACUGAGAGCCCAGCAUCUAUGGUGUAGCAAAAACCAGAGACCUCAAAUAGACCAGUGACUAAUUGCAAUGAACACUUGCAAGUAAUGAUAUUUGAACUAAAGGGUAUACUGUGUGACUCACUGUGUCACACUACAGCUCCCACAAUGAGAUUUUUCUUUCUCUUUUCUUUUAAAGAGUGGGGGUGUGGUUGGAAGGAUAGAGGGCAGAUGGAAAGGAAUGGGGAUAUGAACGGGAUCAGGAUGCAUGAUGUGAAAUCUACAAAUAAUCAUUGAAAAAAGUUAAAUUGGAAAAAGAAACUUUAAGACAUUGAAGAAAGAAAUUGAAGAAGAUAUCAGAAGAUGGAAAGAUCUUACAUGCUCAUGAUCAGUAGGAUUAAUUUAGUAAAAUGGCUAAUCUACCACAAGCAGCCUACUGGUUCAAUGCAAUCACCAUCAAAAUUUCAGCAAAAUUCCUCAUAGAUCUUUAAAGGACAAUUUUCAGCUUCAUAUAGAAAUGUAAACAAAACCAAACAAAACAAGACAAAACAAAAAACCCAAGAUAGCUAAAAUACUCCUGAAUGAUAAAGGAACUGCUGGAGGUAUCACCACCUCUGACUUCAGGUUCUACCCAAACUAUAUUUAAUAAAAACAGCAUGGUAUUGGCACAAAAACAGACAAGUCAGUCAAGAGAAUAAAAAUUGAAGAUCCAGAAAUAAGUCCACACAUCUAUGGACGCCUAAUUUUUUUAAAAAAGAAGCCAGAAAUACACACUGGGAAAAGACAGCAUGUUCAUCAAAUAGUACUUGCCAAACUGGCUGGCUGCUUGUAGAAGAAUCCAGGUAGAUCCGUACUUAUCACACUGCACAAACCUCAGCUUCAAAUGGAUCAAAGACAUCAACAUAAAACCAGAUACAUUGUACCUGAUACUGAUAGAAGAGAAAGUGGGGAAUAGCCUUGAACUCAUUGGCACAGCAGACUUUCUGAGCAGAAUAUCAUUAACAUAGGCACUAAGAUCAACAAUUAAUAAAUGGGUCUUCAUGAAACUGAGAAGCUUCUGCACGACAAAGGAUACCGUCACUUAGACAACUGGCAGCCUACAGAAUGGGAGAAAAUUUUUACCAGCUACUCAUCCAAUAGAGGGCUAAUACCCAAAAUAUAUAGAAAAAUAAAAAAGUUGUACAUCAAGAAAACAAUAACCCAAUUAAAAAUGGUAUACAGAUCUAAACAGGGAAUUCUCAAAGGAGAAACUCAAAUGACUGAGACUCACUUAAGGAAAUGUUCACCAUCCUUAGCCAUCAGAGAAAUGCAAAUCAUAACUUCUUUGAGAUUUAAUCUUACAUCAAUCAGAAUGACUAAGAUAAAGAAAACAAGUGAAUGCUUAUGCUGUUGAUAGUGUGGAAUAAGGGGAAAACAAGUCCAUUGCUGGUGGGACUUCAAACUUACACAACCACUAUGGAAAUCAGUGUGGCAGUUCAUCAGAAAGAUAGGGAUCAAUCUACCUCAAGAUCCAGCUAUACUACUCUUAGACAUAUACCCAUAGAAUGCAUAGAGACACCAUAGAGACACUUGCUCAACCAUGUUCAUUACUGUUCUACUCACAAUAGCCAGAAAUUAACUCUAUAGAUGUCUGUCAGUGGAUGAAUGGAUAAAGAAAAUGUGGUACAUUUACACAGUGGGGUAUUACUCAGCUGCACGCCUUUAAUCCCAGCACUUGGGAGGCAGAGGCAGGCGGAUCUCUGUGAGUUCGAGGCCAGCCUGGUCUCCAAAGCAAGUUCCAGGAAAGGCACAAAGCUACACAGAGAAACCCUGUCUCGAAAAAAACCCCCCCAAAAAAAUAAAUAAAUAAAAUAAAAUCACAGGUAAAUGGAUGGAACUAGAAAAAUAUUAUCCUGAGUGGUAAAACUGAGACCCAGGAAGACAAAUAUGGUAUGUAUUUGCUUUUAUGUAGAUGGUAGCUGUUAAGUCAUUGAUAAAAGCAAGCCACAGUCUGUAUUACCAUAGAGGUUAGGUGGAAAGUAAGGGACUAGUGUCUCUCUAUAAAAUUGUAUCUUCCUAGGACUGGGAAAUAGAAUAGAUAUUUAUGGAUGGAUGAGAAAGGACUGAAAUGUGAGGAUCAAAUGAGGAGGGGAAGGGAGGCAAGAGAGGGUAUAUGGGGAGACAGUUAAAAUUAAGAGCCAUUUGAGAGGUAGGAUGGAAGCUUGAUACAAUAGAUCAGACAGAUUAUUUUUGGGCUGCUAGCUCACAAAAAAUGGCACAGAGACUUAUUAUUAAUUGUAAAAGCUUGGCCUAUAGCUUAGGCUCAUCCCACUAGCUCUUAUAACAUAAAUUAACCCACAUCUUUUAAUCUUCAUUCUUUUAUGUGGCUUCAUUACCUUUGUGCUGUAAUUCCCAUCCUGCUUCCUUUCCAUUUGUCUGGCGACACUCUACCUUUCUUCUUCCCAGAGCUCUCUCUGUCCAGAAGUCCUUGCUAUACAUACCUCCUGCCUAGCUAUUGGCCAUUUAGCUUUUUUAUUAAAACCAAUCACAGUGACAUAUCUUUAUAGUGUAAUCAAAUAUCUUGCAACAAGAGGCUUCUUAUAAUAUAUACAUAUAUGAAAGAAAUCUAAAUGAAAUCACCAAAAAAUCAGGAAGACAGAGACCCAAAUGAACAUGUCUCACCACCAAAUGAAGAUUCCAGUACUGGGAUGGGUUACAUCUAAUCAGGUUCUUGGCCAAAGAGAUCUAUCUCAUGGGAACCCCCAAACAAACAAGCGCUUUGCCAAGGCUAUUGGUGACUCUCCACAAACUGACAGUUAGGCCCCAUUGCUGAAGAUAACACCUACAUAAUUCCUUGAACUUGUAGAAGUCAAGCUGAUACCUCUUUAGAGCCUUCUCCCCUAUGGACUAGUAUUCACUGUACUGGAAGAUACUGUCUUAUUCACUUUUCUCUUGCUGUGAAGAGACACCAUGACCAAGGCAACUUUUACUCUUAUAAAAGAAAGCAUUUAAUUGGGGGCUUGCUUACAGUUUCAGAGGCUUAGUCCUCUGCUGGAUUUACAAGAGUGACUGCUUACAAUAUAUGCUGGUGCAACAGUGGUACAAAGCUUGGGAGAAUAACUGACCACUAUUUGAUUUGAGUUAAAGCCCACUCCAGGAGAUAGAACCCAUGCCCAGGAUUGCUUGGGUGGCCAAGAACUUGAGACUAGAUAGGUCAGGGACUUAGGCGAAAACAAAAUACUGCUUUCUGCUAGUAUCUAGUAGUUCUCAACCUGUGAGUCAUGACCCCUUUGAGAGUCUAAUGACCCUUUCACAGGGGUCACAUGCCAGAUAUCCUGCAUAUCAUGUGUUUACAUAAUGAUUCACAGCAGUAGUAAAAUUACAGUUAUGAAGUAGCAGCAAAAAUAAUUUUAUGAUUGGGGUUACCACAACAUGAGGAACUAUAUUAAAGGGUCUUAGCAUUAGGAAGGUUGAAAACCACUAGCAGCUAGAGGAACAUAGCAUUAAAAUGAUUCCUAACAACAUUUUGUUGUACUCAUAGGAAAGCGUUUGCUUAGCCAUCAUCACAGAAACUUCCUCUUGUAGCAGAUAGGAACAAAUGCAGAGACCCACAGCCAGUUAAUAUACAAGAAGUGAGAGAGAACUUGGAAGACUCAGCCCUAAAAAGGACUCCAUAAAAUCUCUAUCCUUAGGGCUCAGGGAAUUAGAAGUAAGAGGAGGCAGAAAGACUAUAAGAACCAAAGGGGAUGGAGGACACCAAGGAGUCAAGGCCUUCUAGAUACAACAGGGCUGAUGCACAUCUGUACUCACAGAUACUGUGGCAGCAUGCUCAGGGCCUGCAUGGGUCUCUACCAGAGCUAAAAGGAGAAGUAGACACAUUCUCCCAUUACUAACCCAGACGCUAUUUCUAAUUGGUAGCCACUUGCAAAUGAUUAGUUUUCUCCAAGGGAGUCUACUCUUAAGUGUAGGCCCCAUGCCCAGCAGUAGAUGAUCGGCACAAGGGAACUCAGCAUCUUUGGAAGUUCUUUGUUUCAUUGUCCAAUGUUAAGUCAGGCCCCUCCCCCCACCUUUUUUAAACCUUACAGGUCCUUUGCACAAAUAUUAUGGCUUCUGGUUUUGGGUUUUUAUGGGCUUCCUCUGAAUGUGAAUGUGUGUUUGAUCAUUUUGUCAUAUACUGAUUUGUUUUUGAUUUAUCUUAUUAUAUUGCUAUUAUUCCUUAAAUGCCUGUUUGUUUUCUAAGAAAUUUCAGAAAGGGUGUGGGUGAGAGGAGAGGUGGGGAGGAACUGGAAGGAGUAGGGGGAGGGGAAACUGUUUUUAAAAGGAAAUGCUGACCUCUAGUUUCUAUAACUUAAUCAUAAUUUGCCCUAAGACUCUAUAUUAUGAUCGGGAAUUCAGGUCUACUCAGCCAUUGCUGAUUCUCUGUUUACUCUUCCCUAGAGUUUCAGAACACUUUAGGUGUCAUCUCUGGAGGGCACAGUAUUGAGGACCUGGUGUAUGCUGUGAUUACUUCUAGUGAGCCACAUAGCCCUUGGCGCUACUGACUCAGUGUCCCACCUAAGCAUAGGAGUCAGUCCAGCUCUACUUAAGACCUAGACACUCACAUCCCCUACAGGCCUGUAGCCUCAUGGAGGUUGGGAAAUUCUCAUUACUCUUCAGAUCUCUGGGCUUCUCCCUCCUUCCAUGUUUAUGGAGUACCAUCUGUAAGCCCUGCUCUGUUUUGUGUUUAGAAGAAAAUAUCCCCAAACUGUUGCUCUCAGGAUGGGUCAUGACAGGGACUCAGGAUGACAUAUAAUAAGCAACUGGAUUUCAUAAAAGUUUAGAAGGAUUUGGUGCUACAACAAAAGGAACGGGGGAAGGAGGCCGGGGGAGGCCAACAUGACCUUCAAAUUCUGCUGAAAAGUAGAAUAACUAUCCAGGGAAGUUUCUGGAAGAAGAAACUUCUAUUCAGUAGGAAAUGGCUGAACAGAGAAGCAGAAACAGAAUGCUGGCUGUGUGCUGGGGAGAGUCAAGACUGCUAUGAGGCAAGGGGAAUGGGGGACGGUCACACUCUACUUUGAUUUGCUAUGUGCAGAAACCACAAGAAGAUUCUGGACUGAAGUUGCUAUUUUACAGAUGAGUAAAUUAUAGAGGUCAAUAGCUGAAGCAGGGAGAUGGCUCAGGAGGCGUCUUGAAUAGUUCCUUUCCAGUUUUGGGGGACACAUGGUCACUCUGUCUCACAAUUUAAACAUCAUCUCACCCCUUUCCAAAGCACAUUCUCGGAUGCAGGGAAAUGACACAUUCUGGUCCCUGUAUUAGGUACUUCCUCACUGUUGUGACGAGUACUUGGCAAAAGCAGAGCAAGGAGAAAGGGCUUAGUUUUGCUCUCAGUUUGCAGGCACAGGCCUUCUCGGUGGGGAAGUUAUGGUGAUAGAAGUUUGUGGCAUUGCAUCUCCAGCCAGGAAGUGGAGAGUAACAGAUGCUGGUGCUCAGCUCCCUAUUUGUCUUCUCCAGAAUGCUAGCCCAUGGGAUGAUCCACAGUUAAGGUGCUGAGUCUGACCUCAGUUAACCUAACCUAGAUACUCCCUCACAGUCAUGCCUAGAGCCUGUCAAAUUGACAGUCACUGAUAAUCAUCACAGUGAAAUAAGGACUUUCACCCAAGCCAGACAGGACCUCAGCAUCUGCAAGCAUCUUUGAAUUGGGUCUGACCCUUGAGGUAGGGGAGCAUGAGGACAUAGCUGAACUUGGAGGAAGAAGGAAGCAUACAAAGACACUAUGUUGCUUUCUGAGUAUUUACUGCAACAAAACACUAAGCAUCCCUUAGAUUCCCUGUCUCACAGAAAUGAGUGAUUAUGGGUGCUAAUGGUAGAUGCAGUCCACUUGAAAAUGCAGAAAGAAGUCAGGGGAACAAAGAGCUUGGGAUGUGUGUGAAUGUGUGCAAGUGUGUAGGGGAACUAUUAGAAUGGAGUAACUGGAAGACUGGCAGAGACCAAGCUGAAGCACUCCAGAGAGCGUUCCCAGGUAAAUAUAGAAUGCCCAGUUAAAUUAGCCUUCCAGCAAACAACGGAUCACCGUACUAGAUGCCUGGCUCCCUCUUUCAUAGGGAAUAGAAUACAGCUAAUUACUGUUUUCUGAUUUGCAUUUUGUUUUGUCUUGCAACGCUAAGCUUAGAUAAUGUUUGGCUGACAGUCUUGAUCUAAAACCACUGAUUCCUCAAAAAUUGUAUGUCCUCCAGAUAAAGAAAUAGGAGCAGAGCAACUCAUGCUCUUGGAAGAAUCACUCUUAGGAACUGAGUUUGAAGAAGCCCAGUCCAUUUCGUGAUCAGAGAAGAAAAAAAAAAUCACAGGCCUAAUACACAACCAGCGCCAACAGCUUGCUCUUUCCCGGCUGUCCUUCCAUGCAGGAGGGACAGGGACCAAGGUCAUAAUUAAUCAUAAUAUGAUUUAUUUGUCUGUACACAGCAUAUUCAAUUUAAUUUGAUAGCUGGGAUGUAGUUAUUUCAUGGAAAAAUUCACCUUGGCGUUUUCUCUUGGGUCUUCAGAUGGUGUAUAAUAAAUUAAAUAUUCUCAUAAACUUUGUUGACAUAAAGGGGAAGUUUCUGACUCAAGAAGGCAGACUAAGAAAAUGAGGGCGAGCAGUGUCCUUCCCUGUGUUAUCACAGGAGGGGCCUCCUGUGACUGUUUGUUGCUAACGAAUGAACACAGCCAUACUUCAGGCUGCUCAUCACUGUCUACCUACCAAAAGGCCCCUCUGUAACCUCUGCAUUUCAGAUGUUCCCUGCUGGAGCGUUUAUCCUUUUAAAACCUGACCUUCAGCACGUGGGUGAUGACUCUCUUGUGUACCUGCUUCACAGCCUUCUGCUUGCUCCAGUGGAGACCGCUUUAAUGGGCUUGCUUUGCACUUGUGAGCAUGCUCUGUUGGAAAGGAAGUCCCUGAAGUGUCUGUCUCCUUCAAUUUUCCAUGAUGCAAGGAAACUGGACUUUGUAUGUCCUCAACUAUGCUCAAAUUUUCCACCCUCCCAAAUUCAUUAAAUGAUUUCUAGGUGUGAACCUUGGGGUCUUCAGCUGCUAUUAGCUCAGGUGAGGACAUUAACCCUAAUCCUGAUUUAAUUAUAUGAAGACUGAUGUGAAAUGAUCCUGCACUAUCAUUGAUACCAAUGUCUGUGUUAGUAAAAAAUACAAAGAGCUACUGUUGUGUUAGCAACCCUCAACAUCAAAUCUGUUUGACUAUUGUGUGGAGGUUAGGGUUCUGCGGGGAAGCAGUACCAAGAUGAUGGGAAGGGAAAAUGUUUAUUUUAAGUAAUUUCCCCAUGCAACUCUGAAGAUUGGAAAAUCCAGAUUCUUCAUGGCAGAUGCUAGGUAGGUAGCUGAAGAUUGAGAAAAAAAGCUAAUUGUGAGGUUAAAAACUAAAGACUAUCAUACUGGAGACCCAGGAAAUAGCUCAUGUUGUAGUAAAAAGCCCAAAUGCAGCAAAAUUCUCAUUGAUUUAAGAACUCUCGAGGUCAGUAUUUUGUGAUAUUCAGGCCUUCAACUUUUUAGAUGAAGCCCUUCUACAUUGGAGAUACUUGAGUUAGUGUCUACUGAUUUAAAUGUUAAUUUCUUCCAAAAACACCCUCUCUUACCAUGUCUUGAAAAAUGUGUGACCACAUAUAUGACAGUGAGAUCUAGCUACAUAAAGUUAAUAGUCACAUAAUAUUAACCAUCACAUACAUGUAUACUAUUUUAUAACCAUGCUAAAAUAACAUAGUAAUAUUAUUAGGUUCCACUAAUUUUAGAAACCUAACCAGCAGAGAUGCCUGCAUACAUAAUGUAUGUAUCAUGCGUAAGUCAAUACUAUAUAUGUAUCAUGUGGAAUACAUAUAUAUAUAUAUAUAUAUAUAUAUAUAUAUAUAUACACACACAAAUGCUGAGAGAAAGAGAAAGACACUCAUUGCAAAGAGAAGAAUUGACUUGCAGUGUUGUAAGUUUAGCUAGCCAAGCCUAAAAUCCAGGGGUGGUCAUCAGGCAAGACAUGCUGGACAUCAUGGGCAGGAGAGGAUACCACAGUCAAUUGCUGGAGUUGUUUCUGGGAAAUCUCAUCUCUACUUUGAAGACCUUUCAAUCAACAAAGCCAGUAUUAGUUUUCAUAACUUCCUUUUCAUAAAAAGCAGCUGGCUGUAGUGGGAAAUCAUGUUUACAGAAUGUCUAGACUGGUGUUUGAUUGAUUGAUGUGUACUAUGGGCUAACCAUGCUGGAUACAUGAACUUGAACAUCACAAACAUUUAAAACAACAAACACAGUGCCUGGUACGUGUGUGUGUGUGUGUGUGUGUGUGUGUGUGUGUGUGUGUGUGUGUAUAAUUUCUGGCAAGGAUAGUCAGAUAAAUGAGUGUCAACUGUCUGAACGUAUAUGUGAACCCAUAUAUAGGAUAGUAAGGUGUAUGACAGUUGACUAUAUGAAUCUAUAUCUGUCUCCAUGUACGUUUUGUGUUAAGAAGCUUGUGAUACAAUUGAAAAUAAACUGCAAUCCCAUAAAUUUAUAUGACUAGGCAAAACCACACACCGCCAACUUCCACUCCCAACACGUAGAACUUACUGACCACAGUCCUAAGAGCUUUAAAUUCAUUUUACAUUUCAUUUUCAUAUACCUGUAAAGGAGAAAUAUUACUUGUACUUUAUAGUACAGAUGGCUGAGGUGUAGGACGUUUCAACUGUUCGAUAAAGAUUAUGUAGCUAGCAAGUGCAAAGGCCAGGCUACUCCUGUGGGAUGGUCCAGCAGGCUUAGCCAAGAUGGAAAGAACUAUGUGGCAGGAGGGACAUGGAGACAGGGACAGCCAUAUGGGAGGUGGAGACAAGCCCACCUUAUUACUGAGGGAAGACUUCAGCAGAUAGAAAUGUGUGUGCGUGUGCGUGUGCGUGUGCGUGUGCGUGUGUGUGUGUGUGUGUGUGUGUGUGUGUGUGUGUAUGUGUAUGUGUGUGAUUUGUAGAGAAUGUGAAUUUUUACAUGUUCAUGUAGCUUUUCAGGACACAUUCUUAUUGUUUUCUCAAGUCCCUACACUGUCAGGAAAAUCUCAGGAAAAAUGGAGGAUUUGAGUAUCUGAAGGCUGCUCCUUCAAUUUGGCCAAGGCAGUUUUUUUGGGUGCAAAAUGUAUAAAAUGCCUUGAAAGUAUUUUCCAGGGCACAUUCAGUGACUUCACUCAGCCCAGCUUAAAUGGUCUAUUCUGGUUUUGAGUUCAUAAAGCCCCUCUCUCUCCCCCUCAUUUCCCUGUUCAGGUCCACGUCCAGAUAAAACAGCUAACUCAAAUACGGUGUAAAAAUGCAAGUCCCCUUUAGCCCAGCCUUUCAUGCUGUGCCCCAAAGUGUGCCUGGGUGUUGAAAGUGAGAAGAGGUGGGGCUGGGGGCAGCAUGUUUUUCCAGGGCCAUUUAUGGGAGCGGGCACUCUCUGGAGCUUUUAGCGGGAACCCUCGCCUCGUGGCCCAGUGGAAGUCAUUUAGGAUGGUGCCCAUGCUCAGUGGUCGGUGGAGAGCUGGAAAAGCUGCCAAAGUCAGCAGCUGGAGCAAUAGAGUAAAUCAAGUUAAGAGGGAACAGGACAAGAUUUUGGAAAGGGAGAGGAGGCGCAGGUCAAACCUUUAACCAGACCCGCAGGGUGAGAUGAUGAGGUAUAAAUUGACUGGUAUUCCCUAGGCUUAAGAAAGGCAGUCUCUCUGGGAUUUAUAUCUGGUGCUUUGGCCCUGAAUACUCUCACAUUCCUUCUUACCUGCCUGCUGGCCUACCCAGUGGGCCUCAGGUGUGGGGCAUUUAGAACAGGAUCGGGUACAAACCAGAAAGCUCUGGGUUUUGCAUCUGUAAGUACAUUUGUCUAGCUGUCAUCCUUAAUUAGGACCACAGCACCCAUAAUGCAGCACUUCCCCCUCAUACUGCCUGUGUAAAAAGACCAUCUGGGCAUCUCCAGUCUCUCUUUGCUGGUAUCUUUAAGUCAUUUCUCUUCAUUUUUUUUUUUUUAUGGACAUCGAUGGAACAUGGCCAUGCACACGUGUGAGCUUGGCACUCAGAUCGUGGACACUUAGGACUCUGAAAAUGGACUUGUGGCUCUAGCAGCCAGAAAGAGCUAACUUUUUAAAAGUAUCCAGAUGUAGAACUCUCAGCUCCUCCAGCACCAUGUCUGUCUGCAUGCUGCCACUCUUCUUGCCAUGAUGAUAAAGGACUAAACAUCUGAAACUGUAAGCUGGCCCUAAAUAAAUGUUUUCCUUUAUAAGAGUUGCUGUGGUCAUGGUGUCUCUUCACAGCAAUAAAGUCCUAACUAAGACAGGGAGGAAGAGAAAGAGAGAGUUAAGGAACAGGAAUGCAGAAAGGAAGAGGAGAGGAAGAAGGACAGGAGGAGAGAGAGAAUUGAGAGUAGAAGGAGAGAGAGGAGUAAGGGGGAAGGGCAAGAUAACCCCUUCAAGUAUACUCCUCCAGGGACCUACUUCUUCCAAUGAAGGCACACUUCUACAGUGUCCAGUAAUUCAGAGACCUUUGCAAAGAUGUGUGCAGAAGUUCCUAACAGUUCGCUGAGCUCUGAAUCUAUCAUGGAUGAGUUAAUGCUGGCAUUAUCCAAUUACCUGUGAACACUGGGGCAAUGGGAACCACUUCAUGUAGCACAUAGACUUUGAGGGCACAUUUGAGAUCUAAACCGUAACAUUUGUCUCUAUAGCAUUUAUAAUCUGGUUGAAGAGAUUUUAAAGUUUGAGCAUUUCUUUCUUUAAGAAAAUUAAUUAUUCUUUUAUUAACUUUUCCCAUAUAAUAUACUUGAUAAAUUUUUUUCCUUCAAACUCUUCCCAGAUCCUCCAUACCUCCAUAUCCACCUGAUUUCAUAUUCUUCCCCCUCUUUCUCAAAAAUUGAAAGAAAAGAAAAAAUCAAAACAAACUAAAAAUAGAAGAUAAAAACCACAAAACAAAAAGCACACCAAAAACAAAACACCCCAAAAUAAAAACAACAACAAAAACUUCACCCAGUAUGGAAUCUGUUUUGUGCUGGUCAACUACUCCUGUACAUGGGGUCUGCCUUGGAGUGUGCUUGAUAUACCCAGUGACACUCCAUUGGAGAAAACUGAUUUUCCCCUUUCCCAAUAGGCAUCAAUUGCAAAUGGCCUCUUGGUAAGGGGUGGGACUUUGUGUCCACUUUCCCUUCUCAUUGCUCAGAUUUUGUUUUUGAGCCUGUGCAGGACUUGUGUGCUCUCAGAAGCCCAUAUGUGAGUCACUGAGUCCAUAUGUUUAAUAGUUCUGUUGUGUUUGGAAGACACUGUUUCCUUGAAAUCAUCCACCACUGCUGGCUCUUGCAGUCUUUCUGUCUCCUUUUUCUACGAAGGUCCCUGAACUUUGAGGGGAUGGGCUUUUCUGAAGACAUCCCAUUUAGGACUGUGUGCUCCAAAGUCUCACUCUCUGCACAUCUCCUGUUGUGAGUCUCUGUGUUACUUCCCAUCUACAGUACAAAGAAGCUUCUCUGGUGAGGGCUGACCAAGAUACCGAUCUACGGGUAAAGCAGAAUGUCAUUAGGAAUCAUUUAAUUGCUAUAUUCCAUUAGCAGAACAAAUGUAUUUGGUUUUCCCCUAGGCCUAUGGCCUAUCUAGUCUCAGGUUUUUGCCCACACAAGCAUGUUAGGUAUGGGUUCCAUCUUGUGGAGUGGGCCUUAACUCAGAUCAGAUAUUGGUUCGUUAUUACCACAAGCUUUGGGUCAUUAUUCUUAAUAUCACCAGAUUCUCGACUCAGAUGAUUUCUGAGCUUCCCGAUGGCUGCACUCUUUCAGCAGUGGAUUGUCUGCAUUGGCCCAUGUCCCAAGAGUUCCUGGGGUGUGUGUGUGUGUGUGUGUGUGUGUGUGUGUGUGUGUGUGUGUGUGUGUUUGAGGACAGAGUUCUCAGAGCAGAUACUCAACAAACUUUUUGAUUGGCUAGUCACUGUGUGUGAAUGCUACAAUGUAGAAUACAGAUUUCUGAGAUUUCCACCUGCACAAAGUCAAAGACACAAACCUUGGUGUCAUCUGUGAAUUUGCAUUUGAAAGUCCUUUCCUUAUCCAUGGAAUUUUGUAGAAUAUAUCUAACUAUUAUCUAGUAUCAUAAAAUCUUUUGAAGUAAGGUAAAUUAAGUUCUAAAACAACAUAAAUUCCAGGGAGGUAGACUAGUAUGGGAAAAGAUAAACUUAUGUGUAACCCCUAGCCACCACAGAUAAAGGCAUUUAGAAUGAUGAUAAUUAUACCACCUGUAAUUUUGAUGUAGCAUAUGAACUCAAUCUGUCUCUAUUGAUAGUUUUAGAAUCUUUCUCAGGUUUUGUAUUAGUGGACACAUACAAAGUGAUAUGUUUGUAGAACAGAAGGAAAUACUGAGGAAGAUGAGGGCCCUGAGUGGGUGGGUUGGUGGGGGCUCUGUGAGCCGCAGUGGAAGGGCUUGUGCAAUGGGAGGGUUUAAAGAAAGAAGGCGUUUGAUGCAAGUUGCAUUUGGGCCAUCUCACUUGUACACUCCCCAUGUGGAGUCAAGAGGACAGUCAGAGGGUCAACCUGUGGUCUUGGUAAGAGUGGAAUUGGGGAGAGACUAGAGAGUAGGCAGCAGUAACACAUGGACUAGCCACAUGGAAGAGAAGAAAAGGGGAGAUUCUGUUAGUAGAAUAUGUAGGACUUUCAUGCAGUGACUCUGGACAUCCUAACGUAUAAGAACCACAUCUAAUUAAAGACACACCCAAAGGCAUCAGAAAAGUUUUACAAACGUAGGAAACAAGGCUAGAUGCUCAGUAUGGCAUACUGGUGUGAUUAACUCCUUUCAUAAGAAGAGAUGAUGGAGAUUUGAUCACUUUAUUUCAAGGAAAGGGAGGGAGGAGGUGUCAGUAAAUCUCGCUCUGCCCAAACAAGCAUGUUUAACUUCAAUUAUGGCUGCCUUUGGAGAACUGUGCAGGUCUUUUAGUGUGUUUCAAAGUAUUUUACUUAGACAUUUUGGAAAAACAUACAUCUCUAUUCAUGGCAAUGGUUACCAUUCUGAUUUAUACACCCUGCUUCACUGUAAAUCAUUCAAAACUCAAAAAUUAAAUUUUAUGAAAUAACACUUUGAUGGCUCUAUGCCUAAGCAAAGGGCAGGGGGAAUAAAAUUUUUCUUGCUGCCAAUUAUCACUGGAUUUCUUUCCAUUAUGUCUUUUUUUUAAAUUGAGUCAAUGGUUCAAGUUCAUAUGUAGGUAUAGAGAGGAAGGUACACAAAUGCUCUGUUAGGAAAACCAUUCAAAACUUGACUUAAAAUGUUAUACUUUUCACCAUUAGUUCAAUCUUAUUUUUCUUUAGAAUUAUGUAUCCAAGCAUACUAAAAGUUUAAUAUACACCACCAUGUCUAAAGCAUAGAUGGAUGUCUGGGGGUUGAGGGUGGGGGGCUUGGCCACUUAAUUGCCUGAUAUGCAGGCAUGGAUUAUUCCAUUAUACCUACAGAAGCAGGAAUGGGUUCUUAUACAGAUGUACUCACUCUUUCCUGAUGUUGCUUAAUUUUCUUUUCAUAGAUGUUUUUCUCCCCCCUCCUAAAGGAGGAUGGGAUUAGUUAGGUUUCCUCAUUUCGGAAUGAAAAGAAGUCACCUUUUAUGAGGGACUACUCUUCUGUAGGGCCUGUGCCAGCUGCUCUACAUGCACGUCUACUGAGUUUCUCCAUAAUCCUGGGAACUGAUUCUUCAGAAUCCCAGUUCUAUAGAUGAUAAAACAUGGCCAGAGAGUUCCACAGACAUAUAUGAAUGUGCCUUUACUAAUUCACUUGUUGAAAUCACUUUCCCCAUAAGCAUUAAGAGGUAGAGCCCUUUAGAGGUGAUUAGAUCAUAAGAUGGAUUCUUCCUGAGUGGGAUUCAGAUCCUUAUAACAGACUCCAGAUAGUUCCCUUGACCUUUCUGUCACAUGUGGACACAGCAGGAAAAUGUCAUCUAUGAGGAACAGUCUGUCUCCAGUUCCAGAUUCUGUCAGCACCUUACUCUUAGACAUCCUAAUCUCCAGACUGUGAGUAUUAUAUUUAUGUUAUUCAUAAGCCACCAUCUAUGUUAUUUUGUUAUAGCAAUAUGAUAGGUCUAAGCCACUAAGUACCACACAUAUUUAAACUAUGAAAUCAGGAUUUGAUGUAAACAACUCAUUUGGUAUCACCCUGUACAAAAGUUCUUCCUUGGAGCCUGUGACUUCCUUAGUCAUGGGUUUUGGCUAUGCUUGUAGUACAGAUCAGACUUCAGGUUCAUUCAAGAGAGCAGUCAGUUACCCUGUAAACACUCUUGCCACUUUUGUACCAGCAGGUACAUCUUACCUGGAGGGUUGGUAGUAUAGCACACGGAGUCCAGUGCUGAGUAUUUCCAUUGAUGUCUUUUCUCCUCUAGCAACCUGCAUAACACCUUCCAAUACCAUGAAAACUGGCCAUCAGUAAGGGAGUUAACAAUGUUGUCAUCUCAAUAUUGAUUUCUCUAUGUCCUGUGAGCAAAGUGGAUGGUUUAUAUGGUCUUAGUUAUAUGGUCUUACCAUCUGUUAUUGUGUGUAACAAAGAGCAUUGACAAUACUCUGUAUUAUUUUGGGUACCUCUGGGGCUCCCCUGAUCAAGAGCUUGGGAGGUAACCAAUGUCUGACACUGAGAUUUUCUUAGUAACUCAUUCUUCUGGAAGCAGAAUUGUUCACCCAUGCAGGGUACUUAUGCUCAAAUUCCUCAAAAAACAUUUUGUAAAUUAUCUUACAAAUUAGUGGGGUUUUAUAAGGCUUUAUCACAUAUCCUUAGUUUUGGUUAAUCCACACUCUAGCCCAUCUUCUUCAAUCCUCCUCCUCAUCCUCACUUAAACCUCUCAUAUCCAACGUCCCAUUUUUCAUACCAUGUGUGUUGUUUUACUAUCCCUCCCUUAUAUUCUUUUACUUGGGUCUUAAGAUAAUAGGUUUUCCAAGGGGAACACUCCUCUACUGUUGGUGGGAGUACAAACUUGUAUAGCCACUCUGGAAAUCAGUAAGGCAACUUCUCAGAAAAUUGGGAGUCAAUCUACCUCAAGACCCAAUGAUACUACUCUUGGGCGUAUACCCCAGGGAUGCUCAACCAUACCACAAGGACACUUGCUCAACUAUGUCCAUAGCAGCAUUCUUCAUAAUAGCCAGAACCUGGAAACACCCUAGGUGCCCCUCAACCAAAGAGUGGAUAAAGAAAAUGUGGUACAUUUAUACAAUGGAGUAUUACUCAGCUGUAAAAAAAUAAUGACAUCAUGAAAUUUGCCGGCAAAUGAAUGGAACUAGAAAAUAUCAUCCCAAGUGAGGUAACCCAGACUCAGAAAGACAAACAUGGUAUGUACUCACUCAUAAGUAGAUACUAGAUGUAAAGCAAAGGAUAAUCAGACUACAACCCACAGCUCCAGAGAAGCUAGGAAACAAGGAGGACCCUAAGAGGGAUAUUCAGAUUACCUUGGAAAGGGGAAACAGAGGAGAUCUCCAUGAGUAAACUGGGUAUGAGGUGUGGCAAUAGAGGGGAGAGGAUGGAGAAUGAGAACAUGAGGAAAUGAGAUGGUCGAGCUGGGGGAGGAAUGGAGUGGGAGAACAAUGAAAGAGAUAUCUUGAUAGAGGGAGACAUUAUGGGGUAAGGGAGAAACUUGGUGCUAGGGAAAUUCCCAGGAAUCCACAAGGAUGACCCCAGAUUAGACUAGUAGCAAUAGUGGUGAGGGUGCCUGCACUGGCCUACUCUGGUAAUCAGAUUGGUGAAUACCCUAACUGUCAUUAUAGAGCCUUCAUCCAGUAACUGAUGGAAGCAGAUGCAGAGAUCCACAACCAAGUAUCAGACUGAACUCUGGGAGUCCAGUCAAAGAGAAGGAAGAGGGAUUAUAUGAGCAAGGGGCAUCAAGAUCACAGUGAGAAAAUCUACAGAGACAACUGAACCAAGCUCCAAGGAACUCACGAGCUUUAGACUGACAGCUGUGGAACCUGCUUGGGACCGGACUAGACCCUCUGCGUAUGGGAGACAAGUUGUGUAGCUGGGUCUGUUUGAGGGACCUCUGGCAGUGUGAUCAGGAUCUAUUCCUGCUGCAUGAGCUGGCUUUGUGGAUCCCAUUACCUAUGGUGGAACACCUUGCUCACCCUUGAGGCAGCGGGGAGGGGCUGGGUCCGGCCUCAUCUGAAUGUAUCAGGCAUUGCUCUCCCCGCAUGGGAGAACUUACCCUGUUGGAGGAGGAGAUGAAGGAUGGGUCAGG